GUACAUAGGUAGUACAGAUACUAAAAGUGGAACGAUAGGAGAAAUAAUUAGCAUGGCCCCUGCGUGAGGAUUCGUGAUGCAUUUGAUGUUUUAACUGAUUUA